ensembl:lncRNA
AGAACCACACUGAUCAAACAGAUGAUCAGACGAACCGUUAUACACGUAAAGAGUUGACAAAUCCAGACACCACAGGGCUGGGAGUGACCCCUAAAGAAACAGCAACAAGCAAAGCAGUCACUCCAGUACACGCCACCACAAACAACGAGUCUAUAGACUGGCUGAUCAUUUUACUCGUCAUUUUGGCCGUUUUUUUCAUUCUGCUUGUCUGUGUUAUGGUAGCCAACAGAAAAAGAUGGUGUGGCAAGAAACAGACUCUGAUUAUUACAAAAGAGAGCAAAAGUGAAGAAAAUGCUGCAGCAGCUUCAUUGAUUAAGGAGCAGGAGAUGGUCAAACUCGUGAACACUGAGAAGAUCGGAGAGGAUUUAGAGUGUAUCAGCAUCAGUCCAGAGAAGUGAACAGAGACAACCUAGAAGGCAUGAAAGGAGAACACAAGCAGUUUUACGCUGACAACUUACAAUACCGAGGAAUAUGCCUCCAUUAAUGCUGAACUAAUGCACAGACAAUCUUUAGAUAGUGUAUGAUUUAUGACGAUCUAAGCCAUACAUUUACAAUUACAUCAGCAUAUGAUAAAGUGUAUGAUUAAUAGAUUAAUACAUAUAGGAAUUGCUAUUAAUUAAAUGUGUCAUCAUGGAUUAAUUCACUAUCAACAUCUAGCAUUAACUAAUAGUGUAAAUCAAUGUGUUAAUUACCAAAGCCAUGUAUUCCAAUUUCCAGUUGUCUAAUUUAAAAAAAUUGU